rnacentral:rRNA from 1 species
UAGGAAGCAAAUAAGGGCGUAUGGAGAAUGCCUAGGCUCUCAGAGACGACGAAGGACGUGGUAAGCUGCGAAAAGCUACGGGGAGGUGCAAACGACCUUUGAUCCGUAGAUGUCCGAAUGGGGCAACCCGCAUGGUUGAAGACCAUGCAGUCGAAAGACUGAAAACCCAGGGAACUGAAACAUCUAAGUACCUGGAGGAAGAGAAAAUAAUAAUGAUUCCGCAAGUAGUGGCGAGCGAACGCGGAACAGCCCAAACCCAUGAGCUUAUGUUUAUGGGGGUUGUAGGACUGAUAUAAUUUGAGUUAUUCUAAGUAGAAGGUGUUGGAACACACCACCAAAGAAGGUGAUAGUCCUGUACACGUACGAAUAAUGAUAAGAUCAGUAUCCUGAGUAGGGCGGGGCCGGUGAAACCCUGUCUGAAUCUACCAGCACCAUCUGGUAAGGCUAAAUACUUCUGAGAGACCGAUAGUGAACCAGUACCGUGAGGGAAAGGUGAAAAGAACCCCAAGCAGGGGAGUGAAAAGAACCUGAAACCAUACGCCUACAAGCGGUCGGAGCCAAUUUAUUUGGUGACGGCGUGCCUUUUGCAUAAUGAGCCUACGAGUUAGUCGUCUGUAGCAAGUUUAAGCACUUCAGGUGCGUUAGGCGUAGCGAAAGCAAGUCUGAAUAGGGCGCCAAGCUACAGGCGCUAGACGCGAAACCCGGUGAUCUACCCAUGGGCAGGUUGAAGUCUCGAUAGUCUCGAGAUGGAGGACCGAACCAGUACAUGUUGAAAAAUGUUUGGAUGACCUGUGGGUAGGGGUGAAAGGCUAAUCAAACCGGGAGAUAGCUCGUACUCCCCGAAAUGCAUUUAGGUGCAGCGUCGUUUUGAGUGUCAUGGAGGUAGAGCUACCGAUAGGGCUAGGGGGCUUCACCGCCUACCAACCCCUGACGAACUCCGAAUGCCAUGACACUGCAGCGGCAGUGAGGGCAUGGGUGCUAAGGUCCAUGUCCGAAAGGGAAAGAACCCAGACCAUCAGCUAAGGUCCCAAAGUAUACACUAAGUUGAUAAAACGAGGUGGGGAUGCACUGACAGCUAGGAUGUUGGCUUGGAAGCAGCCAUUCAUUUAAAGAGUGCGUAACAGCUCACUAGUCGAGCGUCCCUGCGCGGAAAAUGAUCGGGCAUCAAGUGUAUCACCGAAGCUAUGGAUUGAUCGUAAGAUCAGUGGUAGGGGAGCAUUGUAGCGGCACUGAAGCUGAAUCGUGAGAUUUGGUGGAGCUUCUACAAAAGCAAAUGUAGGCAUGAGUAACGAUAAAAGGGGUGAGAGACCCCUUCGCCGUAAGACUAAGGGUUCCUCGUUCUAUGCUAAUCAGAACAGGGUUAGUCGGGACCUAAGGCAAACCCGAAAGGGGUAGUCGAUGGAAAACAGGUUAAUAUUCCUGUACCUGUAUUAAUUGCGAUGGGGGGACGGAGAAGCGUAAGAGCUGCGAACUGACGGAAUAGUUCGUUAAAGUAUGUAGGUGUUGAGAGUCAUAGGUAAAUCCGUGACUUGAGCUGAAAUACGAUAGUACACCAAAUUCUCAGGAAUGCGGUGAUAAUGCUCCCAAGCCGGCUCCCAAGAAAAACCUCUAAGCUUCAGAUUAAUACAGCCCGUACCGUAAACCGACACAGGUAGUCGAGGAGAGUAUCCUCAGGCGCUCGAGUGAUUCAUGGCUAAGGAACUAGGCAAAUUAGACGCGUAACUUCGGGAGAAGCGUCGCUCAUUUAGAUGAGCCGCAGUGAAGAGGCCCAGGCGACUGUUUAGCAAAAACACAGGACUCUGCUAAUGCGAAAGCUGAAGUAUAGGGUCUGACACCUGCCCGGUGCUGGAAGGUUAAGGAAGGUUGUUAGGAGCAAUCCGAAGCAAUUAACUGAAGCCCCAGUAAACGGCGGCCGUAACUAUAACGGUCCUAAGGUAGCGAAAUUCCUUGUCGGGUAAGUUCCGACCUGCACGAAUGGUGCAACGAUCUGGGCACUGUCUCAGCCAUGAGCUCGGUGAAAUUGAAGUAUCGGUGAAGAUGCCGGUUACCCGCAACGGGACGGAAAGACCCCGUGAACCUUUACUACAGCUUCACAUUGGGUUUGAGUAUAAGAUGUGUAGGAUAGGUGGGAGACUUUGAAGCGGCUACGCCAGUAGUUGUGGAGUCAUCCUUGAAAUACCACCCUUCUUAUACUUAGAUUCUAACCCUAUAUGGGGACAUUGUGUGGUGGGUAGUUUGACUGGGGUGGUCGCCUCCUAAAAAGUAACGGAGGCUCGCAAAGGUACCCUCCGCAUGGUUGGUAAUCAUGCUUAGAGCGUAUGAGUACAAGGGUGCUUGACUGAGAGACGGACGCGUCGAACAGGUGCGAAAGCAGGCUUAAGUGAUCCGGUGGUUCCGCAUGGAAGGGCCAUCGCUCAAAGGAUAAAAGGUACUCCGGGGAUAACAGGCUGAUCUCCCCCAAGAGCUCACAUCGACGGGGAGGUUUGGCACCUCGAUGUCGGCUCGUCGCAUCCUGGGGCUGGAGAAGGUCCCAAGGGUUGGGCUGUUCGCCCAUUAAAGCGGCACGCGAGCUGGGUUCAGAACGUCGCAAGACAGUUCGGUCCCUAUCUGUUGCGGGCGUAGGAAUAUUGAGGAGGGCUGUCACUAGUACGAGAGGACCGUGAUGGACGUACCGCUAGUGUAUCUGUUGUGGCGCCAGCUGCAUCGCAGAGUAGCUAUGUACGGAAUGGAUAAGUGCUGAAAGCAUCUAAGCACGAAGCCAUCUCCAAGAUGAGUAUUCCAUGAGAUUUAUCUCGAAAGGGUCGUGGAAGAUGACCACGUUGAUAGGCGAUAGGUCGAAGCACAGUGAUGUGUGUAGCCGAGUCGUACUAAUUACCCGAAUGCUUCCUUUU